CAAGAGUACGUGAAACCGUUCAGGGGUAAACCUGAGAAACCCAAAAGAUCGAAUGGGGAGAUUCAUCGUCAGCUCACUUUGUAUAUAUGCAAGUUGUGAUAUGGGUUACUACUUGUAGUAUUGCCUGUACAUUCUUGUAUAUUUAUUCGCAAGGUGUUGUCGGCGUGCACUUCUCCCCUAGUAGGACGUCGCGACCCGUUGAGCGUCGGUCUACGGCCCAAGUGGUAGCUUUUGAUAAAUUUUAUUUAUUGAAAACCCUUGGUGUUUCCUGACUGGCACUCGUCGGUAUUCGUAUGGUAUUGAGCCGCAUAUUAUAUGCGUCCCUAUCCGUCGCAAGCGAGGUUAGUUAUUGAUAGUGCGGACCUAGUGCCGUCGUUGGUGCUAAUCAGCUGUUGGUUGUACGGAAUUCUAGGACUGGCUCGUUGAAAUACCGGUCAGCGAUGCUACUGCUUUGGGUACUUUCAGGACCCGUCUUGAAACACGGACCAAGAUUUUAUA
rnacentral:rRNA from 1 species